CAGUAUUUGGUAUUUCACUUAAUUCAUAAUAUGGUAAUAAAAA
rnacentral:sRNA from 1 species